CCUACGGGGGGCUGCAGUGAGGAAUAUUGGUCAAUGGCCGAGAGGCUGAACCAGCCAAGUCGCGUGAGGGAAGACGGCCCUACGGGUUGUAAACCUCUUUUGUCGGGGAGCAAAGCGAACCACGUGUGGUUCAUUGAGAGUACCCGAAGAAAAAGCAUCGGCUACCUCCGCUCCAGCAGCCGGGGUAAUAGGGAGGAUGCGAGCGUUAUCCGGAUUUAGUGGGGUUAACGGGUGGGCAGGGGGAGGUGCAAGUCAGCGGUAAAGUUGCGGGGCUCAACCCCGUACUGCCGUUGAAACUGGAUCCCUUGAGGGCGGGAGAGGUAUGCGGAAUGCGUGGUGUAGCGGUGAAAUGCAUAGAUAUCACGCAGAACUCCGAUUGCGAAGGCAGCAUACCGGCGCGCAACUGACGCUCAUGCACGAAAGCGUGGGUAUCGAACAGGAUUAGAUACCCCUGUAGUC
rnacentral:rRNA from 1 species